CCUACGGGAGGCAGCAGUGGGGAAUAUUGCACAAUGGGGGAAACCCUGAUGCAGCGACGCCGCGUGAGUGAAGAAGUAUUUCGGUAUGUAAAGCUCUAUCAGCAGGGAAGAAAAUGACGGUUCCUGAUCCAGAAGCCCCGGCCAACUACGUGCCAGCAGCCGCGGUAAUACGUCGGGGGCAAGCGUUAUCCGGAUUUACUGGGUGUAAAGGGAGCGUAGACGGUGAUGCAAGUCAGAAGUGAAAGCCCCGGGCACAACUCCGGGACCGCUUUUGAAACUGCGUGACUGGAGUGCAGGAGAGGUAAGCGGAAUGCCUGGUGUAGCGGUGAAAUGCGUAGAUAUCAGGAGGAACACCAGUGGCGAAGGCGGCUUACUGGACUGGAACUGACGUUGAGGCUCGAAAGCGUGGGGAGCAAACAGGAUUAGAUACCCCUGUAGUC
rnacentral:rRNA from 1 species